rnacentral:rRNA from 1 species
AGUGAACGCUGGCGGCGUGCCUAACACAUGCAAGUCGAACGGGCUAGUGCUUCGCACUAGUCUCUUUCUGGGGUUGUUACUCUAAGGCUACCUGCUAAAGUUAUUGCUUUAAAGCAGGGGUUUUAGGAGACUUUCCCCGAAAGGGGCCAGUGCGGAGCACUGGCCAGUGGCGAACGGGUGAGUAACACGUGGGUAAUCUACCCUCGAGUGGGGAAUAAGCUUCCGAAAGGGGGUCUAAUGCCGCAUAACGUUUCAUAACGAUGGUUAUGAAACCAAAGCCCAAAAGGCGCUCGAGGAGGAGCCUGCGUCCUAUCAGCUUGUUGGCAGGGUAAUGGCCUACCAAGGCUAUGACGGGUAGCCGGCCUGAGAGGGUGUCCGGCCACACUGGAACUGAGACACGGUCCAGACUCCUACGGGAGGCAGCAGUGGGAAUUUGCGCAAUGGGGGAAACCCUGACGCAGCGACGCCGCGUGGAGGAUGACGGCUCGGUGUAACUCUGUCAGAGGACGAAGUCCG